rnacentral:rRNA from 1 species
AUUGAAGGCUGGCGGCAGGCCUAACACAUGCAAGUCGAGCGGAUGAAGCGAGCUUGCUCCUGGAUUUAGCGGCGGACGGGUGAGUAACGCCUAGGAAUCUGCCUGGUAGUGGGGGAUAACGUCUGGAAACGGGCGCUAAUACCGCAUACGUUCUGAGGGAGAACGUGGGGGAUCUUCGGACCUCACGCCUUCAGACGAGCCUAGGUCGGAUUAGCUAGUUGGUGGGGUAAAGGCCCACCAAGGCCACGAUCCGUAACUGGUCUGAGAGGAUGAUCAGUCACACUGGAACUGAGACACGGUCCAGACUCCUACGGGAUGCAGCAGUGGGGAAUAUUGGACAAUGGGCGAAAGCCUGUUCCAACCAUGCCGCGUGUGUGAAGAAGGUCUUCGGAUUGUAAAGCACUUUAAGUUGGGAGGAAGGGCAGUAAGUUCAUACCUUGCUGUUUUGACGUUACCAACAUAAUAAGCACCGGCUGACUUCGUG